GACGAACGCUGGCGGCGUGCUUAACACAUGCAAGUCGAACGAUGAAGCUGGAGCUUGCUCUAGCGGAUUAGUGGCGAACGGGUGAGUAACACGUGAGCAAUCUGCCCUUGACUCUGGGAUAACUGCGGGAAACUGUAGCUAAUACCGGAUACUUUCACCGGGGGGCAUCCUCUGGUGAUGAAAGAAUUUCGGUCAAGGAUGAGCUCGCGGCCUAUCAGCUUGUUGGUGAGGUAACGGCUCACCAAGGCGACGACGGGUAGCCGGCCUGAGAGGGUGACCGGCCACACUGGGACUGAGACACGGCCCAGACUCCUACGGGAGGCAGCAGUGGGGAAUAUUGCACAAUGGGCGCAAGCCUGAUGCAGCAACGCCGCGUGAGGGAUGAAGGCCUUCGGGUUGUAAACCUCUUUUAGCAGGGAAGAAGCGAAAGUGACGGUACCUGCAGAAAAAGCACCGGCUAACUACGUGCCAGCCGCCGCGGUAA
rnacentral:rRNA from 1 species